rnacentral:rRNA from 1 species
AGCAGCCGCGGUAAUUCCAGCUCCAAUAGCGUAUAUUAAAGUUGUUGCAGUUAAAAAGCUCGUAGUUGAAUUUCAGGCCUGGCUGGACGGUCCGCCCUUCGGGUGAGUACUGUCUGUGGUCGGGUCCUACCUUCUGGCGAAGCGUCAUGGCCUUAACCGGCCGUGGCGGGGAACCAGGACUUUUACUGUGAAAAAAUUAGAGUGUUCAAAGCAGGCAAUCGCUUGGAUACAUUAGCAUGGAAUAAUGGGAUAGGACAAUGGUUCUAUUUGUUGGUUUCUAGGACCGUUGUAAUGAUUAAUAGGGAUAGUUGGGGGCAUUAGUAUUCAAUUGUCAGAGGUGAAAUUCUUGGAUUUAUUGAAGACUAACUACUGCGAAAGCAUUUGCCAAGGAUGUUUUCAUUAAUCAAGAACGAAAGUUAGGGGAUCGAAGACGAUCAGAUACCGUCGUAGUCUUAACCAUAAACUAUGCCGACUAGGAAUCGGGCGAUGUUGAAAAAAUGACGC